rfam:Melampsora larici-populina 98AG31 unplaced genomic scaffold MELLAscaffold_1, whole genome shotgun sequence.
AGCGAGAUGGCGCAGCUGGUAGCGCGCUGGGCUCAUACCUUGACACUACGUCUGUGGAACGCCACCCAGAGGUCGUCGGAUCGAAACUGACUCUCGCUA